GGCCAGCUCACUGGUACUGCUGAACAACUCCUCAUCGAACUGGAUGUAGGUGAUGACUCCAAUGCUCCUGUGAGAAGAAGAGAACACAAGGUUCAUCUGCUGAGACGCCUCACUUCCUGUCUGCUGUACUUGUAGUGAGGUGUCCCUUGUUUUCCUGAUUGGUGGUCGUUGGGGUGUCCC